UCCUACGGGGGGCAGCAGUGGGGAAUUGUUCGCAAUGGGCGCAAGCCUGACGACGCAACGCCGCGUGGAGGAUGAAGGUCUUCGGAUUGUAAACUCCUGUUGAUCGGGACGAAAAGCUUCGACCUAACACGUCGGAGACUGACGGUACCGGUUGAGGAAGCCACGGCUAACUCUGUGCCAGCAGCCGCGGUAAUACAGAGGUGGCAAGCGUUGUUCGGAAUUACUGGGCGUAAAGGGCGCGUAGGCGGCCUUCUAAGUCGGACGUGAAAGCCCCAGGCUUAACCUGGGAACUGCGUCCGAUACUGGAAGGCUUGGAUUCGGGAGAGGGAUGUGGAAUUCCAGGUGUAGCGGUGAAAUGCGUAGAUAUCUGGAGGAACACCGGUGGCGAAGGCGGCAUCCUGGACCGACAUCGACGCUGAGGCGCGAAAGCUAGGGGAGCAAACGGGAUUAGAUACCCCGGUAGUC
rnacentral:rRNA from 1 species